GCAAGGUAGCUCAGUUGGUCAGAGCACACGGUUCAUACCCGUGCGGUCGAAGGUUCAAAUCCAUCCCUUGC
rnacentral:tRNA from 1 species